UAGGGAAUAUUGGACAAUGGGCGAAAGCCUGAUCCAGCAACGCCGCGUGCGCGAUGACGGCCUUCGGGUUGUAAAGCGCUUUUAGAGGAUAUGAGAAAGGACAGUAUCCUCUGAAUAAGCCUCGGCGAACUACGUGCCAGCAGCCGCGGUACAACGUAGGAGGCUAGCGUUAUCCGGAUUUAUUGGGCGUAAAGCGCGUGCAGGCGGUCUGGUAAGUUGGAUGUGAAAGCUCCUGGCUUAACUGGGAGAGGUCGUUCAAUACUGUCAGACUAGAGAAUGGGAGAGGGAGGUAGAAUUCCGGGUGUAGUGGUGAAAUGCGUAGAUAUGCGGAGGAACACCAGUGGCGAAAGCGGCCUCCUGGCCCAUUUCUGACGCUCAGACACGAAAGCUAAGGUAGCAAACG
rnacentral:rRNA from 1 species